ensembl:lncRNA
CAGUGCCACAUGAUGAAGUGAAAUAGAAAGCACAGGGGAGGUGCCCCUGUCUGACUAGAGAGGAGGCUACUGUGUAGAGAUGACAUUUGAACAGUAUCCUUAGGGAUGAACAAGUAGGAGAGGGCUGCAGAAGAAGGGCACAGGGCUUCCAGGCUUAGAAGGAGCGUGGGCAUAGGGCAGGAAGAGUGCUUGAGGGGAGAAUAUGGCAUGUUUCAGUGAAACACGAAAGCAGGGCAACCUAGUUGAGCAAAAGGGUCAGAGGGAAGCUGGGGAGCAGCUGGUCUGCCAUAGGCAGUGGAGCAGCGACUUGGGUCAUUGUCAGCAGUGGUGACAGCAGGAAAUAGUCACAGGGUGAGGGCACAAGUCUGAUGGUACUAUGGGCAUGAGGGUACUAAAGCCACUGUUCCCCAAGCUUGGGCUCCCGGAAGAGAGGAGAGCAAGGACAGUGGUGGUGUGAAAAGACAGUAAAGCACCAAACACAUGGGCUGUGUAAGAAAAGGGGGAUCUGAGAAUAUGGGGCGGCAGGCCCACAUGAAAUGGGGAGCUGGGCUCGGAUGGAGAGGAUAGGCAGGGGCCAGCCCAGGUCAACACAGGCAGGAGACCAGGGAUCUGUACUCCCACUGAAGGACCAGGCUGAGCUCAGCGCUUGCCCAGGUGACGUGUGGGGGAGCUGGGUCAUGGACUUCCACUGGGCAGAGAUGGACAAGCUGCCAAGCUUCGACUCAGCACUGAAAAUUCAGAAAAUCCUUAACUCUACAAACAAGAAAAUACAACCGCCCAAGUCCCAUCAUCUCAUCGUCUAGAGAUCUGGAGGAUUUUGAUAAGGCCCUGGCCCUUAUUGUCCUAAUGCAUGGCUGCAGUAUUUCACCAGAGGACCUAAAGAAGGACUGCAGCUGGUCUAAAGAAGGACACAAGUCACAUGUUAUAUAAAGCAGAGUAACGAAAUGAGGAAGCAUGAUAAAGGGCAGAAUUUUGAAAUGUAUAAACAUUCCUUCACUGCAAAGUUAAUCCAUGGAUUUCAUAUAGAAAUACUCAUGCAGCAGCUUAAAAUUAUUUGUAUGUUUAUAGGGAAAAUGCUAUGAUGUCUACAAUGUGCUUAAAAUACUCCAGCAAAAACAAAAACAGAAAGUCUGUAUGUGUGUCAGGGAAGAAACAGAUAAAACAUGAUUCCUAAAGUGCUCAGAAUUGUUGAAAUCAGUGAUAUGAAGAUGGAGGUUCAUUGUACUGUUCUUUUGGUUGAUACGUCUGUCAUAAAUUUUCCACAACAUAUAUCCCUCCAUACCUCUAAAACAAUUCUCUAGAAACAGGCAAACUAUGAGAUGAAACAGGUAAGAGUCUGAAAAUUGAAGAGAAGAUACAGAAGAAAAAUGUGGAGGGCUGACUAGAUAACGUACAUGAGCAUGCAAUUCAUUAAAAAAGAAAAAAAAGUCAUGCCUCAGAAAAGUUGAAAACCCAUUCAACCUUACUAAAAUAAUUAAAGAAAUGUAAAUGCAAGCAAACUAGUACCUUUUUACUUUUUUAAAACAAUUUUCCCAAGGACUAUAUAUAUUUGUGGAGAACCAUGUGAUGUUUUUGAUACAUGUACAUAUUUUAUAAUGUUUAAAUCAGGUUAAAUAUAGCUAUCUCUUCAUUUAUCAAUACUUUGUCAUGAAAACAUUCAAAAUUUUUCUUAUAGAAUUUCUGAAAUAUAGAUUUUUCUUAUCUAUAAUGACUGUACUAUAACAGAACUCAAGAAUUUAUUUCUCCUAUCUAUGUGUUACUUAGUAUUUUGUGACCUGCCUCUCUCCAUACUACCCUCCUUCUUGCUCUCCCUAGUCUCUAGAAACCGCCAUUCUUCUCUCAACCCAAAUGAGGUUAAUGUUUAGAUGUCAUGUGUUAGUUAGAUCAUGCAGCACUUGUCUUUCUGCCCCUAGCUUAUUGGAUUCCAUUCUCCAACAAUGAACAAAGAUUGAAGGAGUCUGCUUUCCUAAUUCAGGGAGCAUCAGUACCUGGUCACCCCUAGGCAGUUGCUGAGACUGCAGACUGGGACAGCUUUUUGGAAGGUAAAUUCGCAAUGCGAUUUCAAUGACCCAGGGCUUUUUCCUACACGCUGAGCCAGGAAUUCCACUUCUAGGAAUUUCAAGUAAAGAUGUGUUCAGUGAUUUGUGAUUUAAGUAGACAAUAACUGUGCUAACAUUGUUGAAGGGGCUAAAACCACUUGGAAAUCACCCAAAUGCCCAACAAUAAAUAACUACAGUAAUUUUCAGAUUAUUGAUUUUUAAUUUAUUUCAUAGGCAUUUAUGAAAAUUUCCCUAUAUGCCAGACACAGAGGACACAAAGAUAAAUCUGACACAGCCCCUAUCCUCAAGGAGUUGACAGGGCACUGGGGACAGGGACAGGUAACAGGUGACCAGGGCUAUUUAUAUGGGGGAGAAUCUGCAGAUAGUAAGAACAGAGGUUGCAUGGGAUGGCUUUGGUGAACACAGGAUAAAUAAUAGUACAUCCAGCCUUAUAUAAAAAUAUUUACAUAAAUAUAAAAAAUUAAUAAGAAAUAGGUAAAAUAAUAAUAGAUUUACUUCUAACUGCUG